rnacentral:rRNA from 1 species
AUUGAACGCUGGCGGCAUGCCUUACACAUGCAAGUCGAACGGUAACGGGCCUUCGGGUGCCGACGAGUGGCGAACGGGUGAGUAAUGUAUCGGAACGUACCUUUCAGUGGGGGAUAACGUAGCGAAAGUUACGCCAAUACCGCAUAUUCUGUGAGCAGGAAAGCAGGGGAUCGCAAGACCUUGCGCUGAUUGAGCGGCCGAUAUCAGAUUAGCUAGUUGGUGAGGUAAAGGCUCUCCAAGGCGACGAUCUGUAGCGGGUCUGAGAGGAUGAUCCGCCACACGGGAACGGAGACACGGUCCAGACUCCUACGGGAGGCAGCAGUGGGGAAUUUUGGACAAUGGGGGCAACCCUGAUCCAGCCAUGCCGCGUGAGUGAAGAAGGCCUUCGGGUUGUAAAGCUCUUUCGGCCGGGAAGAAAUCGCAUGGGUUAAUACCCUGUGCGGAUGACGGUACCGGCAUAAGAAGCACCAGCUAACUACGUGCCAGCAGCCGCAGUAACAC